GCUUAUGACCACACCGGCCUGAGUACGCCUGAUCUCGGAAGCUAAGCAGGGUCGGGCCUGGUUAGUACUUGGAUGGGAGACCACCUGGGAAUACCAGGUGCUGUAAGCG
ensembl:rRNA 5S_rRNA 5S ribosomal RNA